rnacentral:rRNA from 1 species
AUUGAACGCUGGCGGCAGGCCUAACACAUGCAAGUCGAACGGUAACAGGAAACAGCUUGCUGUUUCGCUGACGAGUGGCGGACGGGUGAGUAAUGUCUGGGAAACUGCCUGAUGGAGGGGGAUAACUACUGGAAACGGUAGCUAAUACCGCAUAACGUCGCAAGACCAAAGAGGGGGACCUUCGGGCCUCUUGCCAUCGGAUGUGCCCAGAUGGGAUUAGCUAGUAGGUGGGGUAACGGCUCACCUAGGCGACGAUCCCUAGCUGGUCUGAGAGGAUGACCAGCCACACGGGAACUGAGACACGGUCCAGACUCCUACGGGAGGCAGCAGGGGGGAAUAUUGGACAAUGGGCGCAAGCCUGAUGCAGCCAUGCCGCGUGUAUGAAGAAGGCCUUCGGGUUGUAAAGUACUUUCAGCGGGGAGGAAGGGAGUAAAGUUAAUACCUUUGCUCAUUGACGUUACCCGCAGAAGAAGCACCGGCUAACUCCGUGCCAGCCGCCGCCGUAA